CCAAACUUUGGUGUGUUGGAAAUUUGUCUGGCCGAAGAUACAAAUCCAGAAGAUCAGCCGAGUUGUCCUGCAUAGAGCUGCAAUAGCAGUUCAAGUGGAGAUACUGAAGUGGACUCAGAUGACACCAUAAUAUUACAACACAGUCCUACAACAAGACGAAGACUUGAAGACACCUCUCUUGCCAAAGUGGUUGCUGUCAUUGGUGAGGAUGCAUCAUCCGUUGAAGGUCAUGUGAAUGUCCUGCAUAUCCACUACAGCAAGGUGCGAGAGGAUAUACUAAAGAAUUACCCUUUCUUGAAGACAACCUCACGGUUGUUUGAUGUUGACCGAAUGCAUCCAUCACCUGUCAGUUUAAGCCAGCGCUUCAAGGACGGCGUUUACCAGUAUUGUGCCAAAGGUGCUUGAGCUUGUUCAAAGAAAAGCUCCAUUAGCCAAAGUCUCCAAAGAAGCAAGAGAAGAGAUGCUUGCAGAGGAUCUACUAGGUAUUGACAUAAACGUAAUCCUUGUUAAUCUUUAGUGUGUUUUAUAGUUCUCCUUUUUAGAAUUCGUAUCAAUAUUAUCUUAUCACAUUUAUGCAUUUUAUUAUUUAAAUUAUGCAUUUAAACUUGGUUAUAAGUUUACUUUUUUAUUUAUUUUUAGAAAAUGUAGAAUGCAGUAAA